UGGGGAAUUUUGGACAAUGGGCGAAAGCCUGAUCCAGCCAUGCCGCGUGCAGGAUGAAGGCCUUCGGGUUGUAAACUGCUUUUGUACGGAACGAAAAGACUCUGGUUAAUACCUGGGGUCCAUGACGGUACCGUAAGAAUAAGCACCGGCUAACUACGUGCCAGCAGCCGCGGUAAUACGUAGGGUGCAAGCGUUAAUCGGAAUUACUGGGCGUAAAGCGUGCGCAGGCGGUUAUAUAAGACAGAUGUGAAAUCCCCGGGGCUCAACCUGGGAACUGCAUUUGUGACUGUAUAGCUAGAGUACGGCAGAGGGGGGAUGGAAUUUCCGCGUGUAGCAGUGAAAUGCGUAGAUAUGCGGAGGAACACCGAUGGCGAAGGCAAUCCCCU
rnacentral:rRNA from 1 species